AAGGUGGAUUUAUAAGUAAUUAGAUUUUACUAUUAUUUAGUGAAUAGUGGAAUAACAUGUGUACAUAUUGCCCGUCGCUCUCGUUAUUAUUUGAGAUAAGUCGUAACAUAGUUGAUGUACUGGAAAGUGUAUCUUUUUGU
rnacentral:rRNA from 1 species